ACUCCUACGGGAGGCAGCAGUGGGGAAUAUUGGACAAUGGGCGCAAGCCUGAUCCAGCCAUGCCGCGUGAGUGAUGAAGGCCCUAGGGUUGUAAAGCUCUUUCACCGGUGAAGAUAAUGACGGUAACCGGAGAAGAAGCCCCGGCUAACUUCGUGCUAGCAGCCGCGGUAAUACGAAGGGGGCUAGCGUUGUUCGGAUUUACUGGGCGUAAAGCGCACGUAGGCGGACUAUUAAGUCAGGGGUGAAAUCCCGGGGCUCAACCCCGGAACUGCCUUUGAUACUGGUAGUCUUGAGUUCGAGAGAGGUGAGUGGAAUUCCGAGUGUAGAGGUGAAAUUCGUAGAUAUUCGGAGGAACACCAGUGGCGAAGGCGGCUCACUGGCUCGAUACUGACGCUGAGGUGCGAAAGCGUGGGGAGCAAACAGGAUUAGAAACCCCGGUAGUCCCA
rnacentral:rRNA from 1 species